rnacentral:rRNA from 1 species
GGCAGCAGUGGGGAAUAUUGCACAAUGGGCGCAAGCCUGAUGCAGCCAUGCCGCGUGUAUGAAGAAGGCCUUCGGGUUGUAAAGUACUUUCAGCGGGGAGGAAGGGUUCAGCUUGAACAGAGUUGAAUUUUGACGUUACCCGCAGAAGAAGCACCGGCUAACUCCGUGCCAGCAGCCGCGGUAAUACGGAGGGUGCAAGCGUUAAUCGGAAUGACUGGGCGUAAAGCGCACGCAGGCGGUCAAUUAAGUU